CAGCUUGACGAAGAUGAGGUAGUCUCGCAUAUUUUGGAAGGUUUGGAUGAAGAUUACAAUCCCUUUGUCUCUGCCAUAUCCAUGCGCGUGGAUCAAGG
rnacentral:snoRNA from 1 species